GACGAACGCUGGCGGCGUGCCUAAUACAUGCAAGUAGAACGCUGAAGGAGGAGCUUGCUUCUCUGGAUGAGUUGCGAACGGGUGAGUAACGCGUAGGUAACCUGCCUGGUAGCGGGGGAUAACUAUUGGAAACGAUAGCUAAUACCGCAUAAGAGUAGAUGUUGCAUGACAUUUACUUAAAAGGUGCAAUUGCAUCACUACCAGAUGGACCUGCGUUGUAUUAGCUAGUUGGUGGGGUAACGGCUCACCAAGGCGACGAUACAUAGCCGACCUGAGAGGGUGAUCGGCCACACUGGGACUGAGACACGGCCCAGACUCCUACGGGAGGCAGCAGUAGGGAAUCUUCGGCAAUGGACGAAAGUCUGACCGAGCAACGCCGCGUGAGUGAAGAAGGUUUUCGGAUCGUAAAGCUCUGUUGUAAGAGAAGAACGAGUGUGAGAGUGGAAAGUUCACACUGUGACGGUAUCUUACCAGAAAGGGACGGCUAACUACGUGCCAGCAGCCGCGGUAAUACGUAGGUCCCGAGCGUUGUCCGGAUUUAUUGGGCGUAAAGCGAGCGCAGGCGGUUAGAUAAGUCUGAAGUUAAAGGCUGUGGCUUAACCAUAGUACGCUUUGGAAACUGUUUAACUUGAGUGCAAGAGGGGAGAGUGGGAUUCCAUGUGUAGCGGUGAAAUGCGUAGAUAUAUGGAGGAACACCGGUGGCGAAAGCGGCUCUCUGGCUUGUAACUGACGCUGAGCUCGAAAGCGUGGGAGCAAACAGG
rnacentral:rRNA from 1 species